rnacentral:rRNA from 1 species
GAUCAUGGCUCAGGAUGAACGCUGGCGGCGUGCCUAAUACAUGCAAGUGAAACGGGUAUCUUCGGAUACCAGUCGCGGACGGGUGAGUAAUACAUAGGCAACCUGCCUUUAUGAGGGGGAUAACCGAGGGAAACUUUUGGCUAAUACCGCAUGAAGACUCUAAGGCAUCUUAGAGGGAUAAAAGUUGGGAAACAACGCAUGAAGAUGGGCUUAUGGCGCAUUAGCUAGUUGGUGAGAUAGAAGCCCACCAAGGUAAUGAUGCGUAGCCGACCUGAGAGGGUGAACGGCCACAUUGGGACUGAGACACGGCCCAAACUCCUACGGGAGGCAGCAGUAGGGAAUUUUCGGCAAUGGGGGGAACCCUGACCGAGCAACGCCGCGUGAAAGGAAGAAGGUUUUCGGAUUGUAAACUUCUGUUAUAAGGGAAGAACGGAUUGGAUAGGGAAUGAUCUGAUAGUGACGGUACCUUAUUAGAAAGCCACGGCUAACUACGUGCCAGCAGCAGC